rnacentral:lncRNA from 1 species
GCUCCAGCGUCAACAUUAUGCCCAGGGGAAUAUUGAAGAACACAUCCUUUACUAGAAACAACCGUGUGCUUGCAGCCUGCAGAUCAGAAACUAAGUUUCCCAAAGAGAAUAUUGAAGAACCUCUGCGUCCGAGUUGGUACCUUGUACGCCCCAGCAGACUUCGUGGUGAUAGAGACUGGUACUGAUGAGAGGGCACCCAUCCUAGGGAGGCCAUUCUUGAACACCUCAGGAGCUGUCAUCUACGCUAGCGCUGUCAAGAUCAGUUUCUUCAUCAAUGGGAGGAAGGAGACGUUUUCCUUCAAGAACAAGAUUACACAAAUCUCAGAGCAAUCCAGACAUGAACCAAGGAAGAGGACCAACAGGAGGAACAAAAACAAGCAAAUGUGGACCGAGUCAGCUAAGAUGGUGACUACAGUUCAAGGAGGUCAAGAUCGUCGACUUAAAUCACCGUUCCUGACCAAAAAGGAUGACUUAGAUAUCCCAAGCAUCCAGUGCUCCAUUAAUGGAUACAACUUCUAGAAGACGCUUUGCGACACCGGAUUACGCAUCAACAUAAUGGCCGCAGUCACCUAUCAGCUCCUGUUCGGAACCAUGCCCCUAAAACCGACAUACAUUAAGCUCCAGAUGGCAGAUCAGACAUUCCGAAAGGUUGAAGGAGACCGUUCCUCAGCAUCGUUAAAGCAAUCAUCUACAUUGGAACCGGAGAAGUCUACAUGCACUUCCCCUUUGAGAAGGUACGCCGCUAUUUUACUGACCCUAACUAUAUAGUUGAAGACUCUAAGUAGGUCAGGACAAGAAGAAGAUAAUGCAACCGCAACCAGAGGAGGAAAAUCAUCAAGGACGGAUGGGCAGACUACGAAGGAGAAGUAGUAAGGUCCGAAGACAGACAACCUGAACAGAACUAUCCUGAGGAGACCGUAGCACCGAGUUAGGUGUGUAGAGAGAAGAUAGUUAUACAUGAAGAGCAGGCGCCGCCGGAACCACCGACUACGCCAUCCAGCGAAUCCCAAGACGACUGAGAAAACGGAGAGUCCUGUUCGGAGGACUUAAAAACACAAAACGCCUUGCCAAGAGGUAAAUUUGGUAGUUAUUUUUUUUCUUUUCAAUUAUUUUCAAUAGUUUGCUUAGUUAAUCAGGUUCAUAUCAUCUUGAAAAGAAAAUAAAAAUGUUAAAAAUAGUAAGCCCCAUGUGAGUAUGCUCAUGGCAUAAAACCCAUAAGUACAUUCACUGUGGUGGCGUAAGAAUGAAAUAAAUAUAUUCCUAUCCUAUAAAAAUGAGAAUAUAUAAAUAAGAUUGUGAUCCUACUAAAGAGAGUAACAUUUAUUGAGGAGGCUCAACAUCAUAAAGGCUAGAUAUUUAUGCUAACACUUAACUAGUUCCACAAAGCUUUGUUGUCUAUUUGAGCUCCACAGAAUUCAAGGAUCAAAGAAGACUAGCAGACGGAGGACAUCCUAAUCGCUGUCAGGGUGCUGCUGACAUUCAAAUACACCUUCACCACUUGCUAGCUACAUUAUAAGAAACUACGUCAAAAUCCAGCUUGGGGGAGAGCACCCCCAUUUAUCUAGCUAAGUAUUCUACUCACGUUUAUACUUUACUCUAAUAAUAAAAAGAUGCAUAAUCAUAGAAACCCAAAUAAAGAUUUUGUGCUUAUAUAUCUUUGCUUAGUUUGCUAAAUAAAUAAAGUUUGCUAUGAACUCUCAUGAUAAGCUCUCACAUGGAAAUGAUGAAUAGUUGCUCUGCCAUGACUAGUUCUUAAAAUUGAAAUCUCUCUCAAGUUUAGGCAUGAUUGUUAUUAAUUAAGAUUUGCUCUAAACCUGAACUUGUGGGAAGAGUACUUGAUCUAAAGUCUAAGUCGUUAACGGAUACGAUAUGGGAAGGUUGAGCUGCUGUUUAUCUGUUCCUAGAGAUGCUAGAAUUCUGGAGAAUUUUAUCUUUGAAAAUCUUUAAAAUGUUGCAUGAUGAGUUCCUGUAUGAUGAGAGUUUAAAUUCCUACCAUAGCCAUAUAUACAUGCUUGCUAGACUUUGAGCUACACAUUUACUUUUUACUGCUUAUGAGCAUUGAGUGUGGUCAAGCUGUGUAGACCCUUAGGAGCUUGUCAUGUGGUUAAGUCAAGAUUCACUUGCACGUUCACUCAUACAUGCUACUUCUACUCCAGAAGUACCAUCCACAUAUAUCCAUCCAUUUCCAUCUCAAGAACCACCCAAAAAUAUUCUACUCCUAAUCCGGGAGAGAAUAGCCAAAAACAUUCUCCUCUUUCUGUUUUUCCCUGUGAAAUAAAUGCUCAAGUUAUCUUGGUUACUACCACUUGCUAUAUUAUUUCAGGAGCUGAGUGCUCUAAAAAAAGAAAAAAAAAGAGAGAAAAAAAAGAGAUACGAGGAAAUAAAAAGGGGCAAGUGCCCGGAACCUCGAAGAAAAGAAAAAGUGAGACAAGAGGUAAAAAUGGACAAGUGUCCGAUAGUAGAAUUAGGGGUACAAGAUACCCACCUGAGAGAAAAGAAAAAGAAAACAUAGAGCAUCUCAUUCUCCUCAAAAAGUUUCAAAAGAGCAAGAAAGGUAUGUAUCCCCUCAAAAGAGCACAAGUAGAAUUAGACAUUCACCAUUGUUAUCACCAUCAUUACCAUGCACCAUUCAUUCGCCACACAUGCACAUCUUGAUUUGACUUAUUGACUUGUUUUUCUGGAUCCAUGGUUUGACUAUACAAUACAUGUCUUGUAAGUAUGUAUACUUUAUCUCCCACCUAUGAGCUCCAGAUAUUAAAGCCUUAUUAGAGUAGGGUGAGAGAGAAGGCAAUGCCACUAUGCCUUAUACCACAAAUACUAUAGAUUUUGAGAGAAGGCGUAUACCAUCACUGCCUUGGUAAGGAUCCAGAAAUACCACAAAAGAGAGACUAGAGAGAGUCAUACAAGGAAUCUUUGAGUUUUAUUUGAAAAUCUGCAAAAACUCCAGAGCUAUAGUUAAUCGAAGAACAAGAGACAUGGUGCUUGACUAGACUGUUCUAUCUUUUAACUACUCAAGACAGAAGUGACGGUUACAAGUCCCAUGGUGAAAGGUAAAUGAGUAAGUUUUAAGUCUUAACAGUUUACUCUAACCAGAGAUGAAAUCUUGUUUAAACGCAUGUGUAUCUUUAAGUUAUGAAACCACUGCAGAAACUCUUGAGUUCAUCUUUGCUCAGGGACGAGCAAAAGUUAAGCUUGGGGGAGCUUGUUGACGGUCCUUAAUGCUCACAUUUAACCAACAACUAAUCAUAGAAAAGGAUCCAAAUGCAACCAACACCUAGACUUAGGGUUUUAUCUGACAGAAUUCCACAAGUUUUGGUGUUUGUCUAUUUCUGCAGGGGGUUAUCAGGAAUUAUGGAAGAAAGGCCCACACGUCGGGUUUACAUAGAGAUAUUAACGUGCCACGCAAUUUUCUAUCAUCUAGAAGACUCCAGAAGCCACGGGACCGAAGCGGAGGCCGAGAGGACACAGGGACAGGGCGCCCGCCCUCCUUUCCUGGGCGCCUGCCCUCGGCUAGAGUCCAAUCAGGACUCUCUUUCGGGAUAUUGCUCCACCGACCUAAAGGAUCAACAAUAACCGUUCAAUCAAUGUCGGUUUGAUCCGACAGCCCAGAUUCACUUGAAGGGACUAUAAAACCAGACCCCCUGGCCCCUGG